UACGGGGGGGGCAAGCGUUGUUCGGAAUUACUGGGCGUAAAGGGCUUGUAGGCGGCCAACUAAGUCCGACGUGAAAUCCCCGGGCUUAACCUGGGAACUGCGUCGGAUACUGGAUGGCUUGAAUUCGGGAGAGGGAUGCAGAAUUCCAGGUGUAGCGGUGAAAUGCGUAGAUAUCUGGAGGAAUACCGGUGGCGAAGGCGGCAUCCUGGACCGACAUUGACGCUGAGGAGCGAAAGCUAGGGGAGCAAACGGG
rnacentral:rRNA from 1 species